AGGAAUAACAGAUUCGUGGGGUGGUUGGAGUAUUUCAGGAGGAACUGUAACAAAUCCGGGUAUUUGGAGUUAUGAAGGUGUGGCAGGUACGCCUAUUUUGAUU